CAGUAGCCGCGGGAAAACGUAGGGUGCAAGCGUUAAUCGGAAUUACUGGGCGUAAAGCGUGCGCAGGCGGUUAUAUAAGACAGAUGUGAAAUCCCCGGGCUCAACCUGGGAACUGCAUUUGUGACUGUAUAGCUAGAGUACGGCAGAGGGGGAUGGAAUUCCGCGUGUAGCAGUGAAAUGCGUAGAUAUGCGGAGGAACACCGAUGGCGAAGGCAAUCCCCUGGGCCUGUACUGACGCUCAUGCACGAAAGCGUGGGGAGCAAACAGGAUUAGAGACCCCUGUAGUCCCUGUCUCUUAUAC
rnacentral:rRNA from 1 species